UAAAGGUCGAAAGAGGAGAUUCAGUAUCCGUUCCUCAUCGCCGCUCCGUGCCGCGAGUACAACUCGGGUCGUCCCUUUCGGGGGUUCGGCCUGGGCUCGUGGCGCGGUCUCGCGCGCGGGAGGCGGAGCGCACUUCUCCUCGAGUAGGACGCCGCGACCCGCUGGGUGUCGGUCUGAGGCUCGGGUGCGAGCCCGUGUCGCGGUUCGCCGCGUCGCGGAGCCCCGGUGUCCCGACCGACUGCUCGGCGGUCGAACGUAAGGAACUGGCCCGCGCUCUUUUGCGCGCCCGUGCCGCUUGCGAGCGUCCGGCCGAAUCCCGUCGUGCGGACUUGUCCGCCGCGGGCCGGUCGGCGUUGUCGGCUUGCGGAUUUCUCGGGCAGUGGCCUCUCCUGUUUGCGGCGCUCAAAGCUGGGCGGCCCACCCGACCCGUCUUGAAACACGGACCAAGGAGUCUAACAUGUGCGCGAGUCAUUGGGUCCUACUAAACCCAAGGGCGUAUUGAACGAAAAGGCCGUCCUUGCGGCGGCCGAGGGAGGAUGGGGCGUCGCUCGCGGCGCCCCCGCAUUCCCGGGGCGUCUCGUCCUACCGGUGCUUGUCGCCGGAAGGUGAGGCGCACCAAGAGCGCACACGUUGGGACCCGAAAGAUGGUGAACUAUGCCUGGCCAGGACGAAGUCAGGGGAAACCCUGAUGGAGGUCCGUAGCGAUUCUGACGUGC
rnacentral:rRNA from 1 species